GACGGGGGGGGCAAGUGUUCUUCGGAAUGAAUGGGCGGAAAGGGCACGUAGGCGGUGAAUCGGGUUGAAAGUGAAAGUCGCCAAAAACUGGCGGAAUGCUCUCGAAACCAAUUCACUUGGGUGAGACAGAGGAGAGUGGAAUUUCGUGUGUAGGGGUGAAAUCCGCAAAUCUACGAAGGAAGGCCAAAAGCGAAGGCAGCUCUCUGGGUCCCUACCGACGCUGGGGUGCGAAAGCAUGGGGAGCGAACAGG
rnacentral:rRNA from 1 species